AGACUGGUGAGUUCCCGGGAA
rnacentral:miRNA from 1 species